rnacentral:rRNA from 1 species
GCACGGAUUAGAGGGGAACGUUUUGGAGCACGGGCUUGUCAGAGCCCAAGGAGGAAUAAACAUCCCGAAUUAAGGUGAUCUAGCUUGGGGCUUUCGUUUACUGUUACAUAAUUAUGCAAUUUAAGUAAAGCUAGCCGCGAUAUGCAAUUCGGGUUUUAGGAUAGCUGGCUAAGCCCGAAAGACAUUUUAGUGUUGGGGUUCCCACAGUUUUUAGGGAUUUAAGGAAUCCUAAAAUUUGGGGGGCUACUUGCGCUCGUGGUGAUAAGGUCGCGGGGGGAGAAAAAUAAAAAAGAGAUAAUGCUUUUUCUUAGUAGUGCGAAAAUUGCUCAUCUAUUUGAGUUUGUAAUGAAUCUGAAAAAAAAAAAAAGAAAAUUAAUCUAAGCUUAUUUAAGGGGUAGGGCUUCAAAGUAAAAAACUAAAUGCUUGCUUUAGAUACUGCAAGCAUUAGUAUGCCUUAGGCACACUAUAAAGGAAACUUCUAUUUAAAAUGGAGAAGAAGACUUUAAUUUGAUUUCCUAUUUGGAUAAUUAAAUGUACGGAAAAGGAACUCGGCAAAGUAUCCUUUCCCGAAUGGUUUAUUAAAAACAUUGCUGUAUGCAAAUAUAUACGGUAAGUACUGCUCAGUGCCUUUCGGGGUAAACAGCGGCGUAAAGUUUUAAAGUAGCGAAAUACCUAGCCCUUUAAUUGGGGGCGUGCAUGAAUGUAUAAACGAGGGAAAAACUGUCUCUUUCGUAUAGGCUGAAAUUGAAUUUCAAGUGAAGUUGCUUGGAUUCUUCCAAAAGACGACAAGACCCCAGCAGUUUUACUUAAGUAAAAAUAGAUUUUUGUGAUAGAUUGGCUGGGGCAGCAGGAGAAUAGGCAAAAUUUCUUCCCCGUAGAGAAAUUCAGAAUGGCGGUUUAAGAGCUAGCGAGGUUAAUCAAGGGCAAGAGUUACGCUGGGGGUAACAGGACGGUCUGAAAAUGGAGGGCAUAUCGGUUUUUGGGUGCGUUACAUCGAUGUUGAAUCAGGGGUACGCCUGGGUGCAGGAGCUUGGGUUAAAGGGUCUGUUCGACCUUUAGAGCCCUACGUGAUUUGAGUUUAGAACGGUGAAAGCCAGUUCGGUUUCUAUCUCUAGAAGAGCAGAACAAGAGGUAUUCUUGUACGUAAGGACUUUUUAGUUGGAAGGAUUUCGUAACA